UACAGAGGUCCCAAGCGUUGUUCGGAUUCACUGGGCGUAAAGGGUGCGUAGGCGGUCGGGUAAGUCUGAUGUGAAAUCUCACAGCUUAACUGUGAAACUGCAUUGGAUACUAUCCGGCUCGAGGAAUGGAGGGGAGACUGGAAUACUUGGUGUAGCAGUGAAAUGCGUAGAUAUCAAGUGGAACACCCGUGGCGAAGGCGGCUCUCUGGGACGGUACUGACGCUGAGACGCGAAAGCGUGGGGAGCGAACAGG
rnacentral:rRNA from 1 species